AUGGACGCUCCCACACGAGAAAAGGAAUUUGCAUGGAGACGGGAGACGGAGAACGAGAUAAUGUCGCAUAAUUUGCAAAAUCUCAAUUAGAUUACCGACUCGUGGUUAGUAGCUCAGUCAGAGUAACAAGAAGAUAAAUUAUACCUUUCAGUCGGAUUAUUUAUCUCGUGGUUGGCACACGUAUUAUUACAUAUAAUAUUAAGUUGUAAGAUCUCGGCCCAAUUUUUUAAGUGAUUUGUUCGGAAAAUUGUUGAAAAUGGACGGUAAGUCUAAAUAUUUUAGCAUUGGUCAUAAGAAUUGAAAAAUAUCAAACUUUUCAAAAGAUAAAUGAGGUUUAAUCUCAGUUUUAAGUACAAAAUAAUGCAAGGGAAAAUACGUAUACAAAGUGGAACCGUCCUUAGACUAAACAAUUAUUUAUUCAUUAGCGAAGGCAAAAAAUAUAAAAUUGAUUCGGGACUGGGAAAAUUGAUUAGUUCAUAGUUAACAUAGAAAAUUUAUCGGGAAAUAUGAGACGACAGAUAUGUAGAUUAUCGGGUUAUGUAUAGUAAGAGAGAGGGGGUCAAAUUGGCUGGAUUUUUUUUGUAGCGGUAACGAAAUUGUGGUUUGUAAAAAAAAUUAAUUGAUUGUAAACUUUUUAAUGAAUCGUGUGAGAGAGAUCGAGCUAGAUGGAAGGAAUGCGUCACUGGAUGAACGGGAAGCCGCCCUUAAUGCAAGGGAGGCAGCGCUAGCGCCUCAGGAAGGGCCACAAAGAAAUGAUAGACGAAUAAUACGAGCAGCAUUUUCGUCUGAUUGCAUGAGCAAGGUGAAGACGUUGCUAUUUGUCAUGGGAGGCGCUUUUAUAGGUAAAGGUUUGGCAAUUACGUUUCUUGGAGGCAUCUGGAAAACAUUUUUGGCUGCCAGAGCGGCUGUCGGAUUGUUCUUACGAAUCUUCUUCUUUCCCAACUAAACUGAAAUCUUGUAAUAGCAAUUGAGCGAGUACUGGGUAUAUGACAAUAUAGGCCUUAUCCACGGUACAAAAGUUGUCUUCCACCGCUGCUGCUCUACCAUACUGCGCUCAAGUACUAAUCCUAAGUGAAAGCCGUUGACCUGAUACUGUUAAUUUACAUACUACAAAAGAGUAACUCCUCGAUGAGCCAGACUGAAGUUCCCACCGAAAUGCAGAAUUCUAUAGAGGAAUCAAUUAAUUUAAUUGGAAACUUGCCCGAGAUAAUUUCUGGAAUUAUGGCGUUCCUCCCCACUCCCGACUUGGAAUCUGCCUCUCUCGUCAACUCCACGUGGGAAGGGGAAGCUCUGAUCCAUCUCCUCGCCCGAAACCGGAUCGACCUUAACCUCUCCGCACUCAGGGAUCCCGUCGACCUCGCCCACUUUACGGAAUUGUGUCCAAAAUACGUCCAAAUAUCCACUCUACCCGAGAACCAGAAAGAUAGAGAUAUUUUGCUCGUAAAAUGCGAAUUAUUAGACAUGUGGACUCCCGCGUGAUCAAAAUGCUGGUGGAAUUCUGCGUCAAUUUGAAAUCAUUGAAAUUUUAUUUAAAGCUACUGCAUUCUGAAAAUUAUUAUCCCAUUAUGGAGCAAAGAGACUGGGGCGACUGGCUCCCCGAUGGUUUAAACAACCCGCCAAAAUUGACCAGCUUAACGGUCAAAAUGCGAAGCUGGUCGUGUUACUGUGUUACUUCGAUUCGGCUGCCAUCGAUUAGUUCUUUGAUUUCGCGAAUGUUAAUGGUUUUCCGGCAUGUCGUCAAUCUGAG